UAGGCGGAUCAGAAAGUUGGGGGUGAAAUCCCGAGGCUCAACCCCGGAACUGCCUCCAAAACUCCCAGUCUAGAGUWCGAGAGAGGUGAGUGGAAUUCCGAGUGUAGAGGUGAAAUUCGUAGAUAUUCGGAGGAACACCAGUGGCGAAGGCGGCUCACUGGCUCGAUACUGACGCUGAGGUGCGAAAGUGUGGGGAGCAAACAGGAUUAGAUACCCUGGUAGUCCACACCGUAAACGAUGAAUGCCAGUCGUCAGCA
rnacentral:rRNA from 1 species